UUUUUAGAGGGCGUAGUAAGGAAUAUAGCAAAACAUUAUAAAUCCCAAAUCACUUAUCUACAAAAUGAAUCAUCAUUACAACACAUAACCGGCCUGGUGAACAGAUAUUGUAUUUAUUAUAGUAUAAACGAGUUUAAUGUUCGAAAACGAUAUUAUGCAGAGCGAUUUGAACAGGUUAUUUUGUUUAUGUUAGCUAACGACAAUUUAUAUUAGGUUAGGUUGGGAUAGGACUAUUUCGGGUGUCAAUGAAACUUUCUUUAAAAAAAAACUGUAUUUAAUGAAAUAGUCGAAAUUUUACUUUUUUUAAAAAAUUAUUCAUUUUAAUUUAUGUUCUAAUUAGUAUCUUUAUCCAUAUUAUCCAGUAUAAGAAAUUAUAACAUUACAUGU